UUCACCCGACCUUUGAGCUGCAUCCUUUUCAGCACGUCAACGCCGUUCCCGAAUUCACGGAAUACGUACCUCCUCUCCCUUCUUGGUAGAAGAACAACAACAACGUUCAAGACGACGCCGCGCCUUCUUGUACCGCAUUUGCUUCUGAGCACGUUCAAUCCGUGCCUUGCAAACAUGGAGGCGUACAAGAAGCUGGAAACGAUCUUUACGAAGGUCUACCGCCUGGACCACUUCCUCGGUCUGGGCAACUGGGACAUGAACACAAACAUGCCCCCCAAGGGCGAGGAAUCACGCGGUGAGGCGAUGGCGAUGCUCUCGGAGCUCCGCUUUGGCUUCAUCACGGCACCGGAGGUGAAAAGCCUGAUUGAGAGUGCCACCAAGGGCAGCGAGGAGCUGAAUGCGGUGCAGCGCGCUAACUUGCGGGAGAUGAGGCGUGCGUGGAAGAGCGCCACCGCCUUGCCGGCUGAGUUUGUGGGCCGCAAGAUGCGCCUCACGACACACGCGCACAGCGUGUGGCGCGACAGCCGCAAAGCAAAUGACUUCGCCAAGUUCCUACCGGUGCUCAGGGACCUGGUGGCGCUCGCCCGUGAGGAGGGCUCCUACCUCGCCGCCGGCACCUCCCUCUCCCCGUAUGAGGCGCUCAUGAACGAGUACGAGCCAGGAAUCACGACACAAAAGCUGGAUGAGGUGUACGCAAAUGUAAAGUCGUGGCUGCCGCAGCUGCUAAAGGACAUUGUGCAGAAGCAGUCCGGCGAGUCGGUGAUUGCGUUCUCGCAGAAGUUCCCGCAGGACAAGCAGGAAGCACUGUGCAAGGAAUUCAUGAAGAUCUGGCACUUCGACACCGAUGCCGGUCGCCUCGACGUCAGCCCCCACCCUUUCACGGGAAUGACGAAGGAGGACUGCCGACUCACAACAAACUACAUCGAAGACACGUUUGUUCAGAGCUUGUAUGGCGUCAUCCACGAGAGUGGGCAUGGCAAGUACGAGCAGAACUGUGGCCCACGCGAGCACAUCACGCAGCCGGUGUGCAACGCCCGCUCUCUUGGCCUGCAUGAGAGCCAGAGCCUCUUUGCGGAGUUUCAGAUCGGCCACGCGACGCCCUUCAUCGACUACCUCACAACUCGCCUUCCUGAGUUCUUCGAGGCGCAGCCAGCGUUCUCGCAGGACAACAUGCGCAAGUCGCUGCAGCAGGUGAAGCCGGGCUACAUUCGCGUCGAUGCCGAUGAGGUGUGCUACCCUCUGCACGUGAUCCUGCGCUACGAGAUCGAGCGCGACUUGAUGGAGGGCAAAAUGGAGGUGGAAGACGUGCCGCGCGCGUGGAACGCAAAGAUGCAGGAGUACUUGGGUCUCUCAACGGAGGGCCGUGACGACGUUGGGUGCCUGCAGGACGUGCAUUGGUCCAUGGGUGCGCUCGGCUACUUUCCGACGUACUCGCUCGGCGCCAUGUAUGCGGCGCAGAUCAUGGCGAGCAUCCGAAAGGAGCUGGGAGACGACAAGGUGGAUGAGUGCCUGCGCACCGGUGAGCUCGGCCCCCUCCUGGAAAAGCAGCAGCAGAAGAUCUGGGAUCAUGGGUGCCUGUACGAGACGGACGACCUCAUGACGCGUGCGACGGGCGAGACGCUGAACCCCGAGUACCUGCGCCGCCACCUGGAGGCGCGCUACCUAAACGCCUGAGUCGCGAGCGGUUGGCACACGCGCUCGCUAGCACAUGACGCGUCUUUAUUAUUCUUUGUUGUGCAUUCGUUUCGAGCCCAUCUUGUAACACGCACGCCGUUAUUUUCACCGUCUGUUCGUGACGCGCAUGGGCCUUGCGUCGAACAGCGUGACGGAUGCGUAGUGCGCAGCAAUCCUUCUUCUAUAUGGUCAUCAUAACGCUCACAGAAGUCCGAUGGCGGACGCACAGUGGUUGGGGGGGGGUAGGGAUUGCCAAACAUUGCGCGAGAAGCAGUGUCGCGUUCGAUCUCGGGAAAGAUAGCUAAGCCGCCACAUUUAGUUCUCGAUUCUGUGCGCUUUCGCGCAUCGCGAAGACGGCAGCCGACGUGGAAGGACGCCCACAUCCACCACUGUGUCUAACGUUUUGGAGGUCUUUCGGAGGCGGUCGUGAGCGCACAGACACGUCGCACGCCUUGUUCUCUUCUCACGACAUCUGUCGGAAUUUUUUUUUGGUGAGUCCUUUUUUCGGUUUUGCUUUCUUGGUAAACCUCCCGGCACCAGGUUUUGUCUGCGCCACCAUCUUUCCAAGAACCCUCAUAACCGGGAGGCGGGAGGGACACCCCCCUCCCCCUCCCGUGCGCGGUAUCGCACGGUCCAGCGCACUCCAACCCUCUUAUGAGGAUGGGCCAUGCAGCCCCCCACCCCCACCCACCCACUUCCGGUGGCGACGCGCUUAAGCACCGACGACGCGGGAAGAUCAGAGCGGUGUAUCGUUACGGGUGUGCCGGCGGUCAGGUCCUAGAUUGGCGCUGCGUUGGAGCGACCCGCGGCAGCGAACGCGUCUGUGCCAUCCGUGCGUUGGGCAAGCUGUCAGCCUAAACUCGACUUCAUCAAACCCGCCGCUUGCACUGCCUACAGAGUGGAGGAAAACCUGGGUGCCACCCCGAGGGGGAUGCACCGGAUGGCGGCCGGCAUAGUCGGCGCGGCUGUGAGGCGACCCGCGAGGCGUGUGGGUGCGCAGAGUGUGUGGCGCGGGCCGUAAUCAGAUGGCCGAGUCGGCGCAUUUGCGGUAGCGCGCGUGCCUACGACAGGCUCCGGGUGGUAGUCGUGGUGGGUCGAGUGGCAGUGACGUCACGCUAUGUGGCCAAACGGAUCAGUUGAGCAACACAAAGACGGAUAACGUUCUCGUCUCAUCACUCGUCCGGCUGAACACAUCCUCCUCUAUGUCUCUCUGGCACACUCGCGUACAAUUGCUGUCUCUACACGUCAG
rnacentral:misc_RNA from 1 species